rnacentral:misc_RNA from 1 species
GAUGAAGAACGUAGCGAAAUGCGAUAAGUAAUGUGAAUUGCAGAAUUCAGUGAAUCAUCGAAUCUUUGAACGCACAUUGCGCCCGCCAGUAUUCUGGCGGGCAUGCCUGUUCGAGCGUCAUUUCAACCAUCAAGCCCCCGGCUUGUGUUGGGGACCUGCGGCUGCCGCAGGCCCUGAAAAGCAGUGGCGGGCUCGCUGUCACACCGAGCGUAGUAGCAUACAUCUCGCUCUGGGCGUGCUGCGGGUUCCGGCCGUUAAACCACCUUCAUAACCCAAGGUUGACCUCGGAUCAGGUAGGAAGACCCGCUGAACUUAAGCAUAUCAAUAAGCGGAGA